CCCACUGGCGUCCAACAUAACGGU
rnacentral:siRNA from 1 species